CUCAGAAGUGUGCCGGCUUCCUUCUUUUUACGAGUAAGGUAUACACUUGCAGAGGGUCAUAUUCUUUUAACCUUCUAAUGUUGACAAGACAGAGAGAGAGAGGUAAGCGAUUUUGACUUAACUUAUCAUACAGAAUUCCACAUAUGUAUGUAUGUAUGAUCACUGUUCCUUAGUUAGCUUUGCAUCAAAUGUUUGUUUUAUUAUUGAAGGUCUACAGUACAUUCCGCUCUGAACAUUCUGAAAAAAGUAUACACUUUUAUAUUUGGUUGCAUGAGUUUUCCACCACCAAAAUAAGAACGAUCAAAGGGAGUGCAACAUUGGAGCAAGAAAGAGAGAAAGAAAGAGCGAGAGAGAGAGAGGGAAAAAGAGAGGAAGGGCGCGCAUAUGAUGAUAACCGGUUUUCGUUUCCACAUUUGUUUGUUUUUUGUUUUUUUGGGUCGGUGGUCGAUGUCUGGUUUUCCAAAUUUAGAAUGCACCGGCUGAUUGGAGCGUUCGCUUGUCUAUCAACAUAGCUCUUCAUAAGCACUAUUUAUAAAUAAAUAUACAAAUAUAAAAUCUUACAAAAUCAUGGCUACAAUGGAUGAUCAUUUCAGUCGAGUCUUGAGGAAGAAUCCCACCAUCCAAAAUGACCUGCGUGGCAUUUUCAAGAACUCUGAAUGUGACUCUCCAGAGCGGUCAAUCACACUCUCGCAGAUACGUGGCAAGUACCAAAACAACCUUCAAGUAUACAGAAACAUUUUCUAAUUGCAUUUUUCAUAUUGCAGCUGCUUAUGGCGAGAGAACCGGCAAUGAAUUUCCCAUCAAGGGUGGCACGCGCACGCAAAUGUGUUUCAUUUUGACAGUGCCAUAUAUCUGCUGUUUUACCAGUCGAAUUGGCACAUUGCGCUUCUAUACGAUUGACAUUAAUCAGGAGAGAUAGAAGUUACUUCUGCAACUGUACUCGUUCAGGAAAGCAUCUAGUCAUUUGAGUGCAAUUUUUGUAUAGCAGUAAGAAAAUUCUAAAAAGUAAUUGUCUAAAUGGAAAACUUAACUAAAUUUACCUCUAAUGUAAAUUGCCUUAAAUAUGAAUAAACAUGUCUCUGACCAGUGUAA
rnacentral:lncRNA from 1 species